rnacentral:rRNA from 1 species
CAGUAGCCGCGGGAAAACGAAGGGGGCUAGCGUUGCUCGGAAUGACUGGGCGUAAAGGGCGCGUAGGCGGCGGCCAAAGUCAGGCGUGAAAUUCCCGGGUUCAACCUGGGGGCUGCGUUUGAUACUUGGUUGCUUGAGUGGGGAAGAGGGUCGUGGAAUUCCCAGUGUAGAGGUGAAAUUCGUAGAUAUUCGCAAGAACACCAGUGGCGAAGGCGGCUCACUGGCCCGAUACUGACGCUGAGGUGCGAAAGCGUGGGGAGCAAACAGGAUUAGAUACCCCCGUAGUCCCUGUCUUUAUACA